CUUCGGGCUCUCCGCGACGGAUGCUCGUGAACCCCGCCAGGUCCGGAAGGAAGCAACGGUAGCGAGCCUCUCCGUGUGCUCGAGAUCUACCCGAAGUCU
rnacentral:SRP_RNA from 1 species